GGAUUAGAUACCCUGGUAGUCCACGCCGUAAACGAUGUCUACUUGGAGGUUGUUCCCUUGAGGCGUGGGUUCCAAAGCUAACGCAUUAAAUAGACCGCCUGGGGAGUACGGCCGCAAGGUUAAAACUCAAAUGAAUUGACGGGGGCCCGCACAAGCGGUGGAGCAUGUGGUUUAAUUCGAUGCAACGCGAAGAACCUUACCAUCUCUUGACAUCCAGAGAACUUAGCAGAGAUGCUUUGGUGCCUUCGGGAACUCUGAGACAGGUGCUGCAUGGCUGUCGUCAGCUCGUGUUG
rnacentral:rRNA from 1 species